rnacentral:rRNA from 1 species
UGGGGAAUAUUGCACAAUGGGCGAAAGCCUGAUGCAGCGACGCCGCGUGAGGGAUGACGGCCUUCGGGUUGUAAACCUCUUUCAGUAGGGACGAAGCGCAAGUGACGGUACCUGCAGAAGAAGCACCGGCUAACUACGUGCCAGCAGCCGCGGUAAUACGUAGGGUGCGAGCGUUGUCCGGAAUUACUGGGCGUAAAGAGCUCGUAGGCGGUUGUCACGUCGUCUGUGAAAUCCUAGGGCUUAACCCUGGACGUGCAGGCGAUACGGGCUGACUUGAGUACUACAGGGGAGACUGGAAUUUCUGGUGUAGCGGUGGAAUGCACAGAUAUCAGGAAGAACACCGAUGGCGAAGGCAGGUCUCUGGGUAGUAACUGACGCUGAGGAGCGAAAGCAUGGGUAGCGAACAGG